UUCCGGGCUUACUUCCUGGUACCUCAACACAGAACCAGUCCGACCUGGCGGUCAACGAGCCGGCGGGACGACCCUUCUAACGGUCCAGCCACGCUCAGCACGCGGGCGGGCGCUAUGCAGUGCGCUUCUUUAAGCAAUUUGAACGACAGUUUCCCCUCAAGAAGGCUGUUUACGCCUAACCUGACCAAAGAUAGAGGCCUUUUCUUCUAACCUGGUGUCAGAAAACAUGUCUUUCAACUACGUAUCUGCACCUUUAUCUAAAAUGGCAAAAGAGGGCCGGCGCAGCUUGUCGCAGUCCAUGUGAGCUGUCAACAGGGCUGGGACUAACCCUUGCAAGCUUUUCCCCCUUCUGUAACAGGAUGCAGUUAAGUCUGAUGAUAAGUCCAAAAGAAAGGCCUUGGGCCCACUGAAACAGGAAGACGGAAUUCACGCCCCCACUCGUCUUACUCUUCACAAACCCAGGACGUUCAAAGGGCUGAUUAUCUCCAGAAAAAGAUGAACCAGGUAAAAAACAAAAUGUAAAACACCUCAGUGGCAAAGAAGCCUGGUUGUGUCUGUCUGGGUUUGGAGCAGGGACAGUGGUACUCUAGCUCCCCAGAGAAUUUGAAACAAUGUCUGUGCCUCAAAAUUUCACUACCUAUAUAAAAAAUACAAAACAAAAAAACCCUACGACAAGAAAAAAUCUUGUUGCAAGCCACUCUUACACCUGUGGCUCCCAGUAGGAGCAAAUAUAAAACCCACAUUGGAUAGAUUCACCUACAAUCCAAGCCACAAGCUCCUGUGAAGAAAAACAAAAGGGCACUUAAACACUAGAGCAUUCAUAAAGGACAGAGCAAAUGACAGGAAAACAGAUCACACAAAGAUGACAAAGAACCACAAGGAAUCGAAGUAACUUUGAAGCAUAAAAAGGAAAAUCUGUCUUACCCAGGUUAUAAAAGAUUUACAGCAAGGUCAGAAUAAUUAAGAAUAUGGUGCUGGUGUUGAGACAGACAAACAGAAGAAAGAUCCACAUGCAGAGAGAGGAAUGAGACAGAUUACAGAGGAAUUACAUG